AACGCUGGCGGCGUGCUUAACACAUGCAAGUCGAACGAAGCACCUCUAAUUGAAGAUUGACGAAGCUUGCUUCUGAUUGAUUCGCCUUGAGGUGACUGAGUGGCGGACGGGUGAGUAACGCGUGGGUAACCUACCCUAUACAGGGGGAUAACAGUUGGAAACAGCUGCUAAUACCGCAUAAGCGCACAGCUUCGCAUGAAGCAGUGUGAAAAACUCCGGUGGUAUAGGAUGGACCCGCGUCUGAUUAGCUAGUUGGUGAGGUAACGGCUCACCAAGGCGACGAUCAGUAGCCGACCUGAGAGGGUGACCGGCCACAUUGGGACUGAGACACGGCCCAAACUCCUACGGGAGGCAGCAGUGGGGAAUAUUGCACAAUGGGCGAAAGCCUGAUGCAGCGACGCCGCGUGAACGAAGAAGUAUUUCGGUAUGUAAAGUUCUAUCAGCAGGGAAGAAAAAUGACGGUACCUGACUAAGAAGCUCCGGCUAAAUACGUGCCAGCAGCCGC
rnacentral:rRNA from 1 species